ACUCUCCUGCCUGGGCUGCUGCUCAACGGGGGCUGGGGGUGUGUGGGGCGGGGGUGGUCUGUCCAGUGAUUCAGCCACAUGUGAUAGAUGACCAAGUGACUGCUUUCUUGGAGUCCGCACACCAGUGGAAGACUCUCAAAGUGGUUGUGACCGACUUGAUCAAACUCUAGGCUUCCUGAACUGGUAACUGUCACUUUAAUAUAGGUUACUGAUUAAACUCAGAAAAAUGCAGCUUAAAAUCUUUGCCAGGAACUUGUGUGGACUUAUUCCCUGUUCCCCCCCCCACCCCCCUUGUUCUGAUUUGUUUUGUCACAGGAAUGAAAUGCAGAUAACUCUUUAGAAAACUUUUGUAGGAAAAGCGCCUCGUGUGAUCUGGAACAAAGACGUUUUAUAAUCAGAUUUAUCAAGCUGCGAAGAGGGAGUUUUAGUGAACGGAAGCAGCAGCAUUCUGUCACCAGGAAAUACUCCUUUAUCCAGAAUUGGUAAGUGAAAAGUGGCAUUGCUCCCUAAUAGAUAUCAUAUGCGUGUGUGGGAAUUGAAAAAUUGUUCACAGACCCCUAACAACUGUGUUGAACAGAGAACACAUAAACAGUGAGGAGUUCUAAAAAAGAGCAGCACGAGAAUACCGCAUAAAGACUGAGAAGAAGCCAGGUAAUUAACAAAAAUGAGCUGAGUGCUAUCAGUUUAGCUAAACAUAUGUAAUACAGCUAGAUUUGGUUGUUUUAUUUUUUCUUGUUAGUGGAGGAGAAACAUAAAAUCAGAAUGGGCUGUUUAGUAGAAUUGCGACAUUAACUUUCCAUGGAUGUAGAUUUCCAUUUAGUCUGAAUAGCAUGUAUGAAAUUUGAAGGGAUGCUUUCAGAAUUAGUCUACUUGCCCUCCUUUCCUUUCCUCUGCAUUAAGAUGUCAAGUAUUUAGUUAGAACCUUACAAGAUGAAAGUUGUACAAAAUGAAAGUUCAAGUAAUGCGUCGGAAACACCUCUCCUGAUUGGGAAGGGUAGAUUACAAUGGCAAUAGAUUUUUGUUUUUUGUUUCUUACAUUUGUGUCACGAAUUUUAAGUUUGUUCUAUUGGAUUACAUUAGUACAGCAAAAGGGGGGUUAUUUCUAUCUAUAUGGUUCAUGACAUUUUGAGAGGUCGUGAUUAGUAGUUCUUACUGGUUUCGUAUGCGUGUUCCUGCCUGUUGAAUUCAGUUUUCUAAUCUUGAAUCUGAGCUGCCUUUAUGUUAAAGGGUUCUAGAAAAAGACAAUAAAGCUUUGAAUACCCGUGUUAUAUACAACAGGUUCCUGUUCAUGAUGUAUAAGGUAACGCAAUUUUAUUUUAGGCAUGAAUGUCUAAUUUCUUGAUUUGGCUUCUUAAGAAUAUACUGAAAAGGUUGAAUAGAAUAAGAAAAAGAACAUUAGAAAAGAAUGGUGGGUGACUGCCUGAUUUUACUAGUUUCUUAUUGGUCAAUAGAAGUAAUCAUGUGAUGUCUACUUAUAGAAGCAAAUGGAAAAAA
rnacentral:lncRNA from 1 species